rnacentral:snRNA from 21 species
AUCCAAGUGCAGGGGUUUUACGUGUAUCAGUGAGGAUUCGUCCGAGAUCACGUUUUUGCUAGUUGAAAACUACAUACCUGACCGCUCCUGUUGGGUUUCGACCUGACAGGGAAUUUUUGGAACCCUUCCUCUCGCAGG